CUCCGCCACGGCACAACCCGGGGGGCCGGGGGCGCCAACACUUGAGGCUGUAAUCACUGCUAAAGUUUCUCCUACAAAGUACUGAGUAAAGGGGGGCCACAUUGCGGGCCACCAGUUGUCCAUCCCAACCCUUGUCAUCUGAAGCAGAGAAUAGCUAACUCACACAUUGCUUACAUACUGUUGAGCUAGGCCCGUGAGUUGAAUUGGACCGGGUCCCUCCGGGGUCGAGAACUGGCACCAGGCGGAGCUGAGACUCUGUACCUUUUGGUUAUUUGAAUGAUCUAAUAGUUGUCCACAUUUAAUUUUCCACAGCCAACAACAUGAGUAAGCGACAACAAAAUCAGACAACCACAUAGUUGACGUAAGUAAUUGUUCAGCCUGUCGCAUAUAUGCAAGAAAAUAAUACUCCUGUCGAGUCGCAUUGAAAUUGCAAGUACCUGAUAGUGGAAUUUCUAAAUUCCUGUAUGUUUUGUAGCCAAAACCAGAUUCUCACUCAUUCUAAUUCAUUAAUGAGUUGUAAGUUCAUUAAUUAUGCAUGAAGUAGAUUGAGACCAGUCUUAAAAGCCAAAGGUAACAGCGUUUAUUUCAAGAGAGUACUAACCACAUACACAUAUUUCCACAGGUUAUAAACUGAAAAUGACAUCAUCAGUUUCCCACACUCUCUCCGAUUCUCACAAUAGCCCAGGGUUUUUAGGUCUGGAGAUUUUUCUACUCCCCUCAUAAACCAGACAUUCCAAUCUGUCUAAAAGAUAUCUUCUCUUCCACAAAUGGUACGUCAAGGACCAUUCUUAUCUGUCAGAAAAGAUACGUGCUCUCUCUCCCUUAAACCGCCCGAGAGGUACAGACAAUUAAUUCGUUUUGCUUACAUUUUCAGUAACAGCUUAACCAAGAGCCCAUACAUAAUAGAAUUAGAAGAAAUGGUUCUAAUUGAAAUGUAUACAUUAUUAAUCAUUUCAACUAUAAUUUCCUCCAACAGUACCUCACAUGGAGAGAAAUAUAUAUGCCCAGUCAUUGUACAACGUUCUUAAUGCAGUUGCAGGAAAACACCUUUGAGAGCAGUUUUGAUGGCCACUGUUAAAAGAGGAGGAUCCUGGAGCUUUCUAGUACCAGUCUACACUUAAAUCCAACAAAUUUGUCAAAUGCACAAUUUUAGAAUCAGUUUUUAGCAGCGGAAUGGUUAAUGCGUGUUAGGGCUUUCUAAAGGCGUUGGAUGCAUAGGUAAGACUGGGGCUAAAUGUAACAAAGGUAGUCCUACAUUAUAUUCACAGUACAUGGUCCUUGGUUGCCUAAGUGCCAGUGCAAUGUUUUUUCAGGGGACAUUCAAGUCAUCAAUAUGUUGCUAACUAGCAAUAUUUAGACUUGAGUUUAUGAUCUAGCUAAUGAUUAGCCAAAGGGGCAACCCUCAGCCUACUUAUUUAUAGCCACUUGGCUUCAUCACGUAAACUGGUGAUACCUGAUGAUACCUAAGGCUUAUAUAGCUUCGCUUUAGUACAUAAUGAACGCAUGCGCAGUACAUAAUCUUCACUUUCAAUCCAACCAGUGAAAACAACACGCGCUCUCUUCCAAGAUGUCAGCGCCUAUGGAAAUAGUUUUAUGUGCCGAUUCGGCUGGACAGCUAUGGAACUGUGCCAUUCUUGAACUCCAUUCUGGUACAAAUCUCUUGGCCUAUCGAGGUGGUAAUACUUCUUCGAGGUCCCUCACAGUUUUGAAUGGAGAGUACAUCCUCGGAGCCCAACUCGGGAAAAACUUCAUCAACGUGUGGGAAAUCCAGAGAAAGGAGCCAGGAUCGGACGACUUCACGGGGCACCAAUGAGGCUCCUGCACAGGCUCGGUCAGGACCCGCCCCCAACCUUCACCAACCAGUCAGAAGACAGAACUACAAGAAUCAACCUACGUCAUUCUAUAUACAAAAUCCGCUACACACUCUGUUUAGGGACCCUUUUCAGCUGACUCCUUCCGAGCCAUAUUUUUACCUUUAUUUUACUAGGCAAGAAGGUUAAGAACAAAUUCUUAUUUUCAAUGACGGCCUAGGAACAAUGGGUUAACUGCCAGUUCAGGGGCAGAACGACAGAUUUGUACCUUGUCAGCUUGGGGAUUCAAACUUGCAACCUUUCGGUUACUAGUCCAACGCUCUAACCACUAGGCUACCCUGCCGCCCCAUAUGAUUAGGUCCGUGCACGCUAAAACUGUAGGACAAGAUAUCUUUUGACUAAAUAAACUGCCUUUUUGCUAUACUUGA